UCGGCUCUUAAGCCGACUCACUCAGUCAUUUCUGUCCGCUGUAGAGCCAUUACGAUGAUUGAGGUUAAUUGCGUAAAUAUUUCAGGUGGCCCGACGCAAUGCGUUUUGUCAUUGCAGCACCAAAAUAGAAAAUUACACGGAGCUUGUUUGUCUAUUCCAGCAAUAAAGAAGCUCUUUGUGGUGGCGCUGCCAUGAAUCUCGAUUCGAACCCCCGCUUCUUGAUUUGGAAGUGACAUUCGCAAUUUCUUUGGUGCAAGCUGAAUGCGGCAUUACUGAAUCAUUUUCCAAGUCGGCAAUAUGUCGUUGCUUGCCGGGAAGAAUUCCAGCGGAUUCUUGAUCAGUGUGGCCGAUUCAUCACAUUCCUGCUGUUCUCUUCAACAGAAACAUAGAUUACAACCUACAGCCUGUACAUAAAGGAACCAGGUCAAGGACCAACAUGAUGGAUGGGGUACAUUUAAAACAUAGUUUACAGCCACCCACUUCCAAGCUUUUUCAAUGACAAACAAAUCUUGAAGUCCCCUGAUGGAUAUUCACUGCUUCUUAAUUGAUUAGCUGUUUCUCUCACCCGAACGGAGGAGGGCUAAAUUAAAGAGUGGUUGUGUUUUCCUAACUGACACAGGCACUUUGUCAGUGAAAGGUUAUUGGCUCCUCUCCCAUCCUCAUGACCUGCCAGCGCAAUCCGACGGGGAGCCUCCGAAUCCAACUUCUAAUAAUUUCUCCUUGGCAGUUUUAAGCAGGAUCAGUGACCGAGCUGCUUGUGCGGAGGGGGCAGCUGGGAGCGAAGUCAUUUAGAUUCUGAUCACACGCUGGAUUUACCUCCCCCUGUGCAGCAACACAGAUAACCGCUGCUUGUUUGUGCUGUUUGGGUAAAUGGUAUAGCCUAUGUUUUGUCACAUGCUUUGAAAAAUAAGGAGACGCAUUAUAGAACACCUUUUUAUUGAUUUCCAGUUGUUGUUGAACUUGGUGGCAACUUGUUAGGCGUUUUGCUAUUGUGAAGGAGUGUGGGCUAAUAAUAUGAAUACUGAAAUCUAUUUUUGACAUUUUCAUAUUCAUGUAUACAGAUCUCCA
ensembl:lncRNA